CAAAGUUGAUCGUGUUUAUGACGUCGAUUAUCAACGUCAUAAACACCAAAGUUGAUCGUGUUUAUGACGUCGAAUAUCGACGUCAUAAACACCAAAG